AACGAACGCUGGCGGCAGGCUUAACACAUGCAAGUCGAGCGCCCCGCAAGGGGAGCGGCAGACGGGCGAGUAACGCGUGGGAACGUACCCUUUACUACGGAAUAACGCUUGGAAACGUGUGCUAAUACCGUUUGUGCCAUUCGGGGGAAAGAUUUAUCGGUAAAGGAUCGGCCCGCGUUGGAUUAGCUAGUUGGUGGGGUAAAGGCCUACCAAGGCGACGAUCCAUAGCUGGUCUGAGAGGAUGAUCAGCCACAUUGGGACUGAGACACGGCCCAAACUCCUACGGGAGGCAGCAGUGGAGAAUAUUGGACAAUGGGCGCAAGCCUGAUCCAGCCAUGCCGCGUGAGUGAUGAAGGCCCUAGGGUUGUAAAGCUCUUUCACCGGUGAAGAUAAUGACUGUAACCGGAGAAGAAGCCCCGGCUAACUUCGUGCCAGCCGCCGCGGUAAAAC
rnacentral:rRNA from 1 species